UCCCAAGUCGUGACUGCAAAAAGUGAGUAAUGUCUUUCAGCUGCGUCAUAGUUCUAGUCACAGUUCACUCCGAACUGAGAAGGAAUCGUGACUUCGCUUGGAGACGUCCCCUACAUGGGGAGAGAGGGGAGGGAGGGAGACGACAAAAACCGAGUGUGGGGGAGAGACCUACCCAAUGAAAAGCGCUGUCAAGAGGGCAUUUGCACUCCGCCGAUCGCUGUCUCUAGCUCUCCCUUCUAAGCCCCGCCAAUCUGUCAAUUCCUCCCCGCCCCCCCGCCCCCCCGCCCCAAGUCUCGCUCCACUUUCUCGGUCGGAUGAGGCUUCAACAAGUUGCAGAAAGAAGGGAACACAAGGGGUUAAGCAGCAGCAAGCUGCAAUUGCCAAGAUCGUGACCCUCCCACACAGUACAGUAACUUAUAUACAUACCUGGAGGAAGACUUGUUUGCCUUUGGGCUUUACUCUUUGGGGAGUGGGGAGGGGGAUUGGGCAGAGUGGGAAUGGUGCUACCUCUCCAGAUAGCUCCUGUUGCCUGCGGACUCGCCAAGGAGGGCGCCUAGAGAAAGGUCCUUGUUACUUACUACUCUUGCUGUGAUACCUCCAGGAGCCCCAAGGAGACAAGAAUGGGAGGAAUAGCAAAAACCCUGGGUAUGGUACUGACAUGACAGGCGACUAAGAUGAGUAAACCAAGGCUUCGAAAAGUUGACUGACUUUUCAUAUAGCAACACAGCUAGUGAGUAUGUUUUGAACACUGUUCUUCCUGAUUCCAAAGGCAACUACUAUUCAAGGUCCCACUACCACUCAAAGAAAGAGUUCAUGGAUCUUCUUGAGUUUCUUUCUUCUAGGGGCUAAGCCAAGAACUGAGAAGAACUUGACUUGUUGAGUGCAAUGGUAAAAAUGAAUUUAUUUUCAAUUUAAAGAACCCAAAAUAUACAUUUUAACCUCUGAGAUGAAGCUUAGAGAGCUUGUGUCCCUGAUACUAAAUCCUUGCUGAUAAAUUGUCUCUGAUUUUGAUAGUUAAAGGGCACAUGAGAAAGCAUCUCUAACCAAGCUUAGUUUAGAAAUAGAUUUCUUGGAAUUUUCCCCUUGUAACCCAGGAUCCUUAAAUGGUUACUUGGGAUUCUUUCAUUGUUCCUUGGGAUUUGUCAAUUGUUCUCUAAUCACCAUCUUUGUUUUCUUUUUGAAGCAACUUCCAGCUGAAGAAGGAACCCUCAAAGAAAGUCUACAUAAAUCCUGCAAGACUUCCAGAAAGUUUUCCUUGGAGAUUAAUAGAACUAUGAAGGCUUUAAUUGGUUGUUUAAUAAUUUAAUUUUCCAUUCAUACUUUCCCACCUGAAAACCCUUUGUUCAUUUUCAAAGAAAUUAUACCUUUAGGCCAUGAUUUUUUAAAAACUCAUUAUUUUGAGUGAAGAAAUGGUGAGCCUUUAUUUUGCCUAACAUCUUGGUUUAUUUCAGGAGGAAUUUGUCUGAAGUAAUGCCUAAUAAUAUCUAAUUUGUUUCUAAAUCAAAAAAGAAAAGAUCAUUUUGUGUUGAGUGCAUACAAGAUGUCUUCAGUUGACACAUUACCCAAAUAAAAGUAUGGUGUGAUUCCAAGUGCAGGAUUUGGAAUUGGAGUCCUGGGUUGAAAUCCCAGCUCAGUACUUACUACCUGCUUGAUCAUGGCUAACAGAGUCACAUAAUCUUUUGGGGCCCCAGUUUUUCAUGUAUGAUGAGGAGGUAAACUAAGUCUCCUCAAAAGGUCUUUUCCAGCUCUAGAAUUAUGAUCCUAAAAGUCAAAGCCAAAUUGGUAUUGAUUUCCUCAAAUAGCAUUGUCCACUGAGGCAACAUCACAUAGAAAAAGAAAGACCAACACCAGAAUCAGGAAAAUUUUGGUUAAAAAUCUUCCUCUGACCCAUAUGAGCUAUGUGAUAAUGGGCAGAUCAGCUAAACUUCCAGUCCUCUCAAUCAACUCUAUAACACUAGAAACUAUAGAUAAGUAGUUGAUCUGCAUUGGUGGAUGGGGUUUCCAUGCUGGGAAUUCCCUUCCCCAAUGAAUUCACAGAUAUGAACCAAAAACCAACAAUAAAAAUCCAUGGACCAUUAGACCAUGAGAGAAACACUGAGCUUGUCAUCAGAAACAUGGAUUUAGGUGUAGACUCUGCUAUUUAAUGUCUAUGUGAUUGUAGGAAAUUUAAACUCUUACAACCUCACUUUCCUUAUCUAUAAAAUGAAGAGAUUGGGCUACAUGAUCUCUAAAGUGCCUCUCCCCUGAGAUAUUCUAAAUUUUAAGGUCCCUUUCUUCUCCACUAUGAUCUACAUACCCAAAGUCCCAUCCAGCUCAAACAUUCUUUCAAGUGCUCUUCAGUGCACUGUGGUCAGAUUUCUCCAUUGUCAAGUGAGGGGCUCUGGACUAGAUGAGUCCUAAGAUCCCUUUCAGCUCCAAAUCCUAUAAUCAUGGCUGUCAGAGGUAGUUCUAGUAGACAAAUUACAGCUAUUCACUCAAAGCCACAAUUAGCUAUCUGUCCUAGCUUCCCAUUUGUUUUCUUUUCCAUGUUAGACCAUCUUUAGUUUUCAAGCAAAAGCCAUAUUGUGCUUCUGGGUCUUUUGUUUUUGUUUGUUUGCUUCUUUGAUAAGUAAUUCCCUCACCCUCAAAGACACUGAUAGCAAAGAACUGUACAGAAGAAUGAUGACUUUGUGCUUAUUUUCUUUCUUCAACUCCUCCUCUUCUUCCUCAUUAUCAUCAGUCCCUUCUCAUCAGCAGGGAUCAAGGAUUCUAAGCAGUAGAAUUCUUAUGUGGAAACUUUAUGAGUGGGGCCCAAGGGUAUAAAAUAAUCCUUCUUGUAGUGUCUGCAGCUAUAUUGAUCCCAUAGUUGUUAAAAAACAAAACCAACUCAAGGACCAAAGACCUCCGAUUGGAGACAGACUCCAAUUCCCAUUGACCUCAGUAGGACUUGAAUGUGGAUUGAAAGCAGUCAAAUCAGGUAAAUAAGUUAAGCUGAUUCAUCUCAGAAGGCACAAAGCGUAGAGUUCACCAGGCAUUUGGUUGUUGAGAGUAACUCCAUUUAGAAUUCCCGACAAUGUUUCUCCCUCCACCAUCCAUCACCCUGUGGUCCUGAGGUAAGUGUUAUUGGGAACCUCUCUUGAUCCACUGCUUCCAUAAAGAAAAGCCUCAUGAUUUAUAUGACUCUACAUCUUAAAGAAUUCUUGGAGAAAAAGGCAAAAUUGGGGCAGGGCAUAUGGGAACCCGUAAGUUUUCAGGGGUGUAAGUAGGCAAGACUGCUGUAUUCAAGCAUGGGACUUUUCUGUGGAUUCAAACUGUAGUUGUUUUCCAUUUUACUCACGAGUAAACUUAAAUCACAUGGAGCAUGGAAGGUUUAUAAAGCCAGAGGAUUGGUGGAUUGUUUUUAAGCAUUUAAAGGCUUGGAAUAAUCAGCCAAUCAAGAUCUUUGGUCACUGAAGUGUUCCUUUGUCAAGAAUGAGUGGUCCUUACUGAAUUGGAGGCCUCUGGAGCUUUCUCUCAGCUUUUGCUGCUUCAAAGAGUGACCGUUAAUAUACGUCUCUGUAUCCAAAAAAAAUAAAGUCAGGACUUGUAGUAAGAUCCCUGGGAAAAGGCCAAGACUUCAAGUCACUUUACAUUCAGUCUUCCAGGACUGGAAAAAGAAGGUGAAUGGGACUUUGCCCCAUGAACAAGGGAGAGUUUGGAUGGGGGUAGGGGAGAGAGAUAUUUUUACCUUGUGAUGCUCCCUCAGUCAUGCCUUUCUUCAAUGUAUGACCUGCAACACUCUGCUGGCUAACACUACCUAGCUCCUCUCUCCUUUCAACUGUUUUGGUCCCAAGUUUAAAAAAUAUAGUCAUGACACAAAUAUGGCCCAAAAUUAUAUAAAGGAAUCUGUUUACUCACUGUAGCUUUUUAAGAAAAUGAAUGGGGGCAGCUAGGGGGCUCAAUGGAUAGAGCACCAGCCUUGAAGACAGGAGGUCCUAGUUUAUAAUCUGGCCUCAGAUAUUUCCUAGCCGUGUGACCCUGGGCAAGUCACUUAACCCCAAUUGCCUAGCCUACUUGCAUCAAUUCUAAGACAGAGCAUAAGGGUUAAAAAAUGUAUGGCUAUAAAACCAAUGACUAAGAUUAUAGUAAAGUCGAUUAAGAUUAGGGGAAAACAGGAGAUGUAUAGUAUAGACAAUAAAGGGUAAAUUCCAUUCUCUAUGAGUUUUUUUUCCUUCAGAUUGUUACAUUUAAAGAGAUCAGAGUUAGUAAUCUUUUAAAAUACUUUCUUUCUUUAGACCUGUUCCCUCCUCUGCAAAAUAAGAGUUGGCCAAAAGAAUCUAAAAUCCUUUCCAGCUUCAAAAUUACAUGAUUGUUGUUGUUUCUUUGACAAUUGCUUCAGUAAUGCAAGAAUCUGUGAUUUUGUCAUUAUUGAUAUUCAGGAAACUGGAUCAUGAUGGAGGGAGUGUAGCAUAAUGAAAAGAGCACCUGCUUUAAAAUCAGAGGACCUGGGUUCAAAUUCCACCACUGGCACUUAUAACCUGUGUGACUCUACUAGGCAAGUCAUUUAACAUCCCAUGGCCAUAGUUUACCCAAUUGUCAAAUGAGGAGGAUAGACUCAAUGUUCUCUCAGAUCUUUUCCAGAUCUAUGAUCCUCUUAAUUCCUCUGACCUUAGCUAGGCUUGUCAAUAAACCAAUUUUGACCAUGUGCCCUAAAAAUAAAUGAUAGGACAUAUUCAGAAGGUCAGAUGAUAAAGAAAUCCAUGACACAUUUCAUUGUGGGACCACAUUUUGGAAAGCCCUUGAGCCUCAAAGGUAAGGCAGAAGGAGUGAGUGAUCAUGGUGAUUUAAGUGGUUCUGGACCAGGUUUGUUUACUGAUCCAGCAAGUACCAAGGACAGAGAACUUUAGACUUGUGCACCAAACACAGCGACCCUCAGUAAUAGAGGAAAACGAAAAUGCCAGCAACAUUACUUGAUCACCAGGAGGAAUUGGUGUAUGUGAAAAUGGUGCCAGUAAAUCCUCUUAAUUAAUUAACCCAAUAUCACACACACACACACACACACACACACACACACACACACACACACACACAAACUACUACCACCAUCAAGCUUUUUUUAAUUUUCAAAUAAAGUUCAAAUGACCUCUCCUAGGUUAUAAAUUUAGAAUAUAGUGAUAGAGAUCCUUCAGAGAGCUUAAAAAAAACAAAAGUAAAUGAACAAAAAUUAUCCUUGAAUUUUUAAAAGGCUUAUGAGAAUCUAAGCUCAAAAAUGUAAGUGUUUGGACCAAUAGACAAAAUGUUCCCUUGCUGCUUGCUUUGAUCAGCAGACCCCUGUGAUCUGCAGAGAUGGCUGUGAUCUCUGUUCCUUUUUCUAUUCCUGGACCCUGUACUCUGAGUUCCAUCUUGGCAAGAAGGAUAAAUGCAUUUUGAUGACUCCUCCCUUCCUUCUGUUGGCUGUGCAUUUUGAGAGCCAAAGUGGGCUAUUAUUCAUCCAAUAAAGGCCAUGUCCAUAGAGAUCUUCAAAAGGGACCUUCAGACAAUUCCUCAGUUGAGACAUAGCCUCAACUGAGUCAGACAACUUGUUUGCCAGUUUGGAACAUGCUUUCCUUUAUAUUGUUAACAUGUUUCUUCAUAUAAAGAAUUAACCUGAUUGGUGGGGUUCAAGUAGGCAUAUAUGUCUAGGAGACAUAUUGAGUAGUAGGUAGAAUAAGGAAUAUGGGGCUAUGUUUGUCUAGUAUAUUACCAUUUUUUUCUUUUAGGGGAGUGAUUUGAACUUGUGAUUUCAUCAAUGUAGGAGAACUACCAAUAUAGAAACUCUCUAUCAAUUCACAAUAGCAACUUAUCUGUCUAUCGAUCUAAUCUACCUGUCUAGCCUUCCUAUCUUUUUAUUCUAUCUUUCUGUCUUUCUAUCUAUCUAAUCUACCUUUCUGUCUAUCCUUCCUUCCUAUCUUUCUAUUCCAUCUAUCUUUCUAUCUAUCCAUCUAUCUGUCUAUCCAUUUGUCUAUCUAUCCAUUCAUCUAUCUUUAUUUAUCUAGCUUUCUGUCUGUCUGUCUUUCCAUCUGUCUAACCUUCCUAUCUCUCUAUCCUUUCUGUCUGUCUUUCUAUCUAUCCAUCUGUCUGUCUGUCUAUCCAUCAUCUGUCUAUCUAUAUGUCUUCCUAUAUCUAUCUGUCUGUCUCUCCAUCUGUCUAACCUUCCUAUCUCUCUAUCCUUUCUGUCUAUCUUUCUAUCUAUCCAUCUGUCUGUCUGCCUAUCCAUCAUCUGUCUAUCUAUAUGUCUUCCUAUAUCUAUCUGUCUGUCUGUCUCUCCAUCUGUCUAACCUUCCUAUCUCUCUAUCCUUUCUAUCUAUCUUCUAAUCUUCCUAUACAUAUUUGCAACAAAGAUUUCAUUUUUCUUUCUUAAUUGGGAGUAGUGUCUGGAGUUAAAUGCUGAUUGAAAAAAAUAAAAUUUAAAAAAAUUCUAGUUUUACAGUUGUCUGAGGAAUUAAAACAAAUAUUUAUGAAGCUUCUCCUAUGUGCCAGGCACUGUGUUAAGUGUUUUACAAAUAUCAUCUUAUUUAAUUUUUACAACAACCCUGAUCAGUCAAUGUUAUUACCAUUCAUUUCCAUUGUGUUGUUUUGCUGUUUAGUCAUCUCAGUCAUAUCUGACUCUUCCUUGCCCCAUUUAGGAUUUUCUUUUCAAAGAUACCCAAGUGGUUUGCCAUUUCUUUGUGCAGCUCAUUUUACAGUUGAGGACAUUGAGGCAAACAGAGGGUAAGUGACUGGCCCAGGAUUCACAAAACUAAUAAGUGUCUGUGACUGGAUUUGAACUUAGUGCUUAACACAAUACCUGGUACAAUAGCAGGUACUUAAUAAAUUUUUAUUGAUUGAUUUGAAUUCAGAUCUUCCUGACUUCAGUCCUCCAACCUCUGUAUCACCUUAAUGCCUCAAUGGCUGGGAGGUUACCGAGGGUGAUACAACUAAUUGUGGCUCAGAGAUGGGAGUUUUUGCCUCAGAGGAAAGUGAAUAAGAUGAAACUUCUGCCACAGAACCCAAGUUCUAUGGGACCAUCUACCAGAUAAUGAGAAGAAGGAUGAUCAUAAAGCCAUUUUUCAUCGACAUUUUUCUCAAACAACCUGCCCACGGAAAGAUGGAUUGCCACUAGGCUGCAAGAAUGAUCAGAGAAAGGGCAACAUUAAGGAGGAAGAGGAGAAUCAGAAGACUGAAAAACCAGCAGUUAUAGCAGACCAGAAGGCUCUUUUGCUGCUGAAUUUUGCCAAGAGAAUGUUCUGAGUGGUCUCCAUCCCUUCCCAGGACUAGAGAAGACCAACAUUUCACACCCACACUUUUACAGAUGAAAUAACUGAGGCCAAGUGGAGUUAAAUGACUUGCCUGGAUUCAUACAGAGAAUGAAUGUCUGAAGCAGAAUUCCAACUCAGAUCUUACUGAUUCCAUGUCCAAUUGGACUACACCCAGGUGAUGGCAUCUGCAGUAAAUGGUCAACCAGCCCCUGCUUGAAGAUCUAUAUGGGAGAAGAAUCUAUUGCCUCUUAUGCGAUCCAUUCUACACUUGGGCAAUUUUUUUUCCUUCUCUCUAGCAGAAAUCUGCCUUUCCUCCAUCCCAUCAGUUACUCAUCUACAAACAGGUGCCUGUACUUAGAAUUAAAGAAGAAGAACUAGCUCUUCCAGAAGGACAAAAAUGAGUCUUUGUUUAAUUCUCUCCAGGAAUAAUCGUGAAGAUCAAGAUAGGUAGUUCUCCCCUUGAUAAGUAAAUAGAAGAUUUGGAAUAUCUGCAAACUGAUAUCUUACCAGCUGCAAAUAUCUUGAAAACCUAGAGGAAAAAGCAAUCCAUCUGCCAAAUGAUUUUGCCUGAAUUUUCUGGGUGAUUGGGGAAAAAUUUAUUUCUUCUCAAAACCUAAAUGAAAAAAUCUGAUCUCAUAUACCCAAAUUAAUCAGAUAAUUGCCAACUAUUUCACUUGGACAUCUACACUUGGGUGCAGAACCAGUCUGAAAACCUGCUAACCUGACCAGAAAAACAGUGCCUUAAUUCAAGCUCAUGGUUCCUGUUGGUGUGAAUAACAGAAGCCAGGUUUCCUGAGUCGUCCCCUCAUCCCUGAGCGACCUGACAUUUGAGCUUCUGGACCUACAAACUUGAGAGGACUAAACGUGAAGAGAAGAUAAGCGCGUCUUCAACAAGCAUUUACCAAGCAUCUGAUACGGGUGUGAGACACUGUGCUACAUUCUGGAAUAAACAAUAACUAGCAUUUAUGUAGGGUUUUGAAGUUUGCAAAGCACUUUUCAAAAAACAGAUUUCACUGCCCUGUCUGCUGCUAAUAUGAAGGGAAAGAAAGUGAAUCAGUUCCUGCCCUUAAGGAACUUAUGUUUCAAUAUUAUGAAAUAAUAUGGAGGCAGCAAGGUGGUGCAGUGAGUAGAGUACAAGGCAAGGAAGAUCGAAGUUCAAAAAUGAUUUUUUAUAUUGGUGCCAAGAACGGGGAAUUGUUUCUUUGAUCUAGCCACUGACUUUUGUACUUCAGGCCCAAUAAUUGUUGAUCUAUUCACCAGUGAUAAGACAUUGACUCUCCAUUAAGGCUUCAGUAAAGGGGAUCUGGGGUUCCAAAUUAUCAGGGGAUGGGGGCAGCUGGGUAGCUCAGUGGAUUGAGAACCAGACCUAGAGAUGGGAGGUCCUAGGUUCAAAUCUGGCCUCAGACACUUCCUAGCUGUGUGACCCUGGGCAAGUGACUUGACCCCCAUUGCCUAGCCCUUACCACUCUUCUGCUUUGGAACCAAUACACAGUAUUGACUCCAAGACGGAAGGUAAGGGUAUAAAAAAAAAUUAUCAGGGGAGAGGGGUCCUGCUCUGUUCUGCUCUGGUCAGACCAUAUUCCAUGUGGAGUACCUUCUACUCAAUUUUGAAUACCAGUUGUAGGCAGGACAUUUGCAAAUUGGAGAGCAUCCAAAGCUGCUAGGCUCCCAUCCUUCACAUUUUGUUUUAUAUUUGUCUAGGGUGAUUUUAAAUGGAAUUUCUCUUUCUAAUUCUUUAUGCUGAAUUGUGUUGAGAAUAUAUAGAAAUGCUGAUGAUUUAUAUUGGUUUUAUUUUGUAUCCUGCAACUUUGUUGAAAUUGCUUUCAUAAAUGUAGAUAUAUGAUGGGGCCAAAUACUAAAGAAGAAAAAAUAACUAAAUUUACUAAAUAUUUUGCUUUACUAUUGUGAAUCUUAAAAUUUCUCAGACUCUACCUUGGAACAUUUGGUUAAGGCUAUUCCCCAUUUAAACAAUGGAGGUACUUGAUCAGGAAUGUAUUGGGAAUUUUAACAUUACUCCACCCAUACUUAGGCAUACUUUAGGGGAAGAUAAAAUUGUAAACUCCUUACUGAACAAUGAAAAAGUACUUAACCCAUACUUAUAGUGAGGCCAAGCCCUUAAGCUAGGUCUAUUUUUAGAUCUAAUACAAAAGGGUGCUAAGUACCUAUGAAGGUUAAAUUAAUCACUAAGAGGUCAAGCAACUUACAAAGGGCAAGCUUAGCAAGAGGUGUGAAGUUUUAGUCUACUCAGGGAAGGUGAUUAACAAAAGAAGAUGUGAAUUAAGAAUGGUCAGUCCUGUGGAAAACAUCUACUGUGAUUGGUAGAUGUGAAAAUUUAGGGGAGGUAACAUAAAAGCAAUUUCUCUUUAAAAGGAGCUGGUUCUCUCAACUUAGGGGGAGUUGGAUCUUGGACUAGUUGGAGUAGCUGGGCAUCUGAACUUAGUCGGAGUUUUUCUUGGGACAAAAUCUUGUGGCGAGUGGAUAAAAGACUGACUUAGUUUUCUCUCUUAAAGAGAAAGGCCUAGGCCAUUUGGCCUAGGCACUAGACCUUUUCCUACAAUUUCCUCUUACUCUGUCUCACUCCCUUCCCUUAAUUCCUUCAUUCGUAUUAAUUAAAAUCUCCAUAAAACCCAGCUGACUUGGGUAUCUCAUAUUUGGGAAUUUUUCUCAUGGUGACCACUUAUUUUUUGAUAUAAAAUCAAUACACUAAAAUUAUUUUUACAGUUUUGGCAAUUCACAGUCAUUGAACCCACAUUUUUGCGGUCACACUCUGGAAUAGCAUCUAGCCGAGAGAAAAAAAUAUCUAAACUUUUUAGAAUUUUAGAAAAACAGUUGGGGCAGCUGGGUGGCUCAGUGGAUUGAGAACCAGUCCUAGAGACGGGAGGUCCUAGGUUCAAAUCUGGCUUCAGCCACUUCCCAGCUGUGUGACCCUGGGCAAGUCACUUGACCCCCCUUGCCUAGCCCUUACCACUCUUCUCCCUUGGAGCCAAUACACAGUAUUGACUCCAAGAUGGAAGGUAAGGGUUUUAAAUAAAAAAAAGAAAAAAAAAAGAAAAACAGUUUAUGAGAAAAAAUAAUAAACCUUAAGAAUUCCUAAAGGCAUCACACAGUGCCCUUAGGAAAUUUUCACAGGGUUGGGUGUGGAGAUCAAAUAUUUGUACAAGUGCUUAACAAUAUCUGGCUCCCAGUAGACUUUAUAUAUAUAUAUUUUUUUGGUCUUCCCCUUCCCUUUUUCCCCAUCUAGCCCAAACCCCAUCUCCAAGAUGACUUCUUACCAAGCUAAUGAAUCCCAAGGAUCUAGAUUUGCCACCUGUUAUCAUUAUAUAUUAUUAUAUAUGAAAUAAAAUGUAAUAUUUAUAAUAUAUAACAUUAUAUACAAUAAAAUAGAAUGUAUUAUAUAUUAUAAAAUAGAAUAUAUAACAUAAUAAAAUAAUGUUAUAAAUAAUAAAUUAUAUAGUUGUAUAGCAGAAAUAGCCCUGAAUCAUGAGUCAGAGGACCUUGGGUCAUUCUAGUCCUGGCCCUGCCACUGAUUUGCUGUGUGACCUUGAGUAAUUCACUCAGUCUCCCUGUGUCUCAGUAAUUUCAUCUGUAGAAGGAGGUCAUAAUACUUCUCAGGGUUGUAGCCAGGCUCAGGUGAACAAAGCAUGUGAAAAUGCUUUGAAAACUAAUGGGGGAAGCUAGGUAGCACAGUGGUUAGAGUACCAUGCCUGAAGUUGGGAGGACCUCAGACACUUCUUAGCUCUGUGACCCUGGGCAAGUCAUUUCACUCUAUUUACCUAGCCUUUGCCCGCGGUCUUAGAACUGCUAUUGAAACAGAAAGAAAUGGUUAAAAAAAUCAAAACAAAAAAACGAAUGCAUAGGACAAGCAAAAGUUGGGAGUGUUGUUUCUCUAAACUAUGUUUAGAAAAAGAAAAUUUUUAAAAAUGUUUAGACAGCUUGAAGAUGAUGUUAUAAUAUAAAGAGUUUAGGAUCCGCAUCUGAACCCCAGGUCUGAUAUUCACUACCUAGAUGACCAUGAUAAAGCCCCCAAAGUUCUCUAACCCUGUUUUCUCACCUGUAAAAUAUAGGCAGGGAUUGGAAGAGAUGACCCUUAAGCUCCUUUUCAGCUUUAAAAUAUUUGAUUCCCUAAAAUCUACCAAAAAAAAGGUGUUCCAAAAUGUUUUUCCAGGGUACAUAUGUUCCAUAUAAUUCACUAAUUAUAAAUUUAAUUCAUCCAUCAUAAAUUAUCUUUAUUUCAGUUUGAAAACCUGUUUAUGAGCCAAUAUUUCCGAUACAAAACUUGCAGCAGUUCCAGCAUGUAUAAUGACAUAAAUCUGAAUGUUGAAACAUUUAUAUGAUAUUGGUUAUUGUGUACAUUUUUUCUAUGUUAAAGAAUUCGGUGAAAUUAAAGGUUAUCAUCAUUUCAAUAAACUUGAGCCCGAAAUCCCGA